CGAAGGGACAGCUGACUGAUAGAUGAGAUGAUGAUGGCACCGAUGGACGCAGAGGUUAGUGCAUGAGAUGAGAUAGUUGGGGAGGCGUCGCCGUCACACGCUGGAUCAUAUUCUCAAGCCAAGCCUGUCCCUUUUUGUUUAAAAAUCCCCCGUCCGUCGCAGCGUGCGCGCCCACAACCCCACGUCCCCGUCCCCGGCCACGGCCAUCCCCCACCCUAUCGCACGAAUUCGAACAGCGCCGCAGCGUCACGACGGCACAUGAUAGAGGCGCACACACACGGCCUCGUGUUUGUUUAGUUCACUCGCACAGCCCACCUCCCGGUUUCUUUAUAUCCGGCGGAUCGCCGGCCCCCGCUCGCUGCUUCCUCCUCCAUUUCCGAUCGGUCGAUUGCGGUUGACAGCUCCACCGUCUGCUAGCUUGUGCUUGUCAGAUCUUGUUGCAUGGACGGCGAGUGGAGCGACGGGGCGGUGUCCGGUGGCGAGCAGAAGGCCAGCGGGGACGGCGUUUCGGCGGACUGCAACAGCCCGGGGUCGCCUUCGCCACCGGCGGUGCCGUCGACUAGCGGGAGGAGGCGGUCGUUGCAGAAGCGAGUGGUGACCGUGCCUCUCGCCGAUUUGAACGUCCCGCGGCCCAAGGGCGUCGGAGAGGGCAACACGCCGACAGACUCGUGGGCGUGGCGGAAGUACGGCCAGAAGCCCAUCAAGGGCUCACCCUUCCCAAGGGCUUACUACAGGUGCAGUAGCUCCAAGGGGUGCCCGGCGAGGAAGCAGGUGGAGAGGAGCCAGGCCGACCCGGACACGGUGCUCAUCACCUACUCCUACGAGCACAACCACUCCAGCACGGUGGCGAGGGCGCAGAGCCGCCCGACCCCGACACCGAAACCCAACAAGGAGCGGCCGCUCCCGUCGCCCGAGCCAGCGAAAUCUGACGGCACGCACCAUGGAACCGCCAACGUUGCCGGCGGCCUAGUCACCGCGAGCCCGGCGCCGGCCAUCGAGGUGCACGACGAUUUCCGGUGGCUCUACGACGUCGUGUCCGUCACCUCGUCGACGUCGCCCUCCGAAGUCGAGGCGGCCGACGACAUGCUGCUGUACGGGCCCAUGUUCUUCGGCAAACCGGUGGUCGAGGUCGACACGGCCGCGCUCCUUCCCGGCGAGUUCGGCGGCGAGGCCGUCGGCGGGGAAGGGGGCGAAGAAGACGACGCAAUGUUCGCGGGGCUCGGCGAGCUGCCGGAGUGCGCCAUAGUGUUCCGGCGGCAUGCCCGCGACGGCCUGGCGGCAAUGGCGGGAGGGGUCAAGGUCGAGCAGCCGGCGGAGGGCACAGCCAUGACGUGAGCAUGUCAUGUCUGACGUGUGGGACAGGUCUCCAAUAAGAUCGAGCAGACAAAAUUGCAGUUUUAGUUUCAUGUUCUCUUGCGCUUUUGUUGGUUAAUUAGUUUUCUCACCUUCUCUUGGUGUACCUUCUUUUACUCAUACAUUAGCACAGAGAAGAAUCUGAGACAUUACCAUUGAACAUAUUGAUUGGACGAGAAAUCGAGAGGGCUACAAGCCCCUUUUGUCAAUGGUUUGGUUGAAUCAUUUGUCUUGUAG
rnacentral:rRNA from 1 species